GACGAACGCUGGCGGCGUGCCUAAUACAUGCAAGUUGAGCGCUGACUGUUGGUACUUGUACCAACUGGAUGAGCAGCGAACGGGUGAGUAACGCGUGGGGAAUCUGCCUUUGAGCGGGGGACAACAUUUGGCUAACGAAUGCUAAUACCGCAUAAAAACUUUAAACACAAGUUUUAAGUUUGAAAGAUGCAAUUGCAUCACUCAAAGAUGAUCCCGCGUUGUAUUAGCUAGUUGGUGAGGUAAAGGCUCACCAAGGCGAUGAUACAUAGCCGACCUGAGAGGGUGAUCGGCCACAUUGGGACUGAGACACGGCCCAAACUCCUACGGGAGGCAGCAGUAGGGAAUCUUCGGCAAUGGACGAAAGUCUGACCGAGCAACGCCGCGUGAUUGAAGAAGGUUUUCGGAUCGUAAAACUCUGUUGGUAGAGAAAGAAACGUUGGUGAGAGUGGAA
rnacentral:rRNA from 1 species